GUGUUGUAAAGGUCACUAGGACCUCUUCCAUCCUUAUCAAGGGGAGUGCUAACCUUCUCUCCUUUCAUACAACACGCAUAUGGUUAAGGCAUUGCCACUUACUUCGUGGCAUCUAACCAAGUUUUUUA
rnacentral:snRNA from 1 species